GCCGGGCGUGGUGGCGCACGCCUGUAAUCCCAGCUACUCAGGAGGUUGAGACAGGAGAAUUGCUUGAACCCAGGAGGCGGAGGUUGCAGUGAGCUGAGAUCACGCCAUUGCACUCCAGCUUGGGUGACAGAGCAAGACUCCGUCUCAA
rnacentral:SRP_RNA from 1 species